CCUACGGGAGACAGCAGUGGGGGAUAUUGCACAAUGGGGGAAACCCUGAUGCAGCGACGCCGCGUGGGCGAAGAAGUAUUUCGGUAUGUAAAGCCCUAUCAGCAGGGAAGAAGAAAUGACGGUACCUGAGUAAGAAGCACCGGCUAAAUACGUGCCAGCAGCCGCGGUAAUACGUAUGGUGCAAGCGUUAUCCGGAUUUACUGGGUGUAAAGGGAGCGCAGGCGGCACGGCAAGCCUGAUGUGAAAGCCCGCGGCCCAACCGCGGGACUGCAUUGGGAACUACCGGGCUGGAGUGCCGGAGAGGUAGGCGGAAUUCCUAGUGUAGCGGUGAAAUGCGUAGAUAUUAGGAGGAACACCAGUGGCGAAGGCAGCCUACUGGACGGUGACUGACGCUGAGGCUCGAAAGCGUGGGGAGCAAACAGGAUUAGAUACCCCAGUAGUC
rnacentral:rRNA from 1 species